rnacentral:rRNA from 1 species
AUGAACGCUGGCGGCGUGUCUUAGGCAUGCAAGUCGAACGAGGCUCUGGCCGCAAGGCUAGAGCAAAGUGGCAAACGGGUGCGUAACACCUUGGUAACCUGCCCUGAAGUUCGGGAUAAUUCACCGAAAGGUGGACUAAUACCGGAUGUGGUCUCCGCACGCAAGUGCGGGGAAGAAAGCCGCAAGGCACUUCAGGAGGGGCCUAGGUUCCAUCAGCUUGUUGGUGAGGUAACGGCUCACCAAGGCUACGACGGAUAGGGGGCGUGAGAGCGCGACCCCCCUCACUGGGACUGAGACACUGCCCAGACUCCUACGGGAGGCUGCAGUCGAGAAUAUUCCCCAAUGGACGAAAGUCUGAGGGAGCGACGCCGCGUGUAGGAAGAAGCCCUUCGGGGUGUAAACUACUUUUCUAUGGGACGAACAAUGACGGUACCGUAGGAAUAAGGGGCUGCUAACUCUGU